rnacentral:rRNA from 1 species
ACCGGCAAACGGGUGCGUAACACGUACGCAACCUUCCCGUUACUGUGGCAUAGCCCAGGGAAACUUGGAUUAAUACCACAUAUUACAUAGAGGCGGCAUCGUCUUUAUGUCAAAGCUUCGGCGGUAACGGAUGGGCGUGCGGUUGAUUAGGUAGUUGGCGGGGUAACGGCCCACCAAGCCUACGAUCAAUAGCUGAUGUGAGAGCAUGAUCAGCCACACGGGCACUGAGACACGGGCCCGACUCCUACGGGAGGCAGCAGUAAGGAAUAUUGGGCAAUGGACGCAAGUCUGACCCAGCCAUGCCGCGUGAAGGAUUAAGGUCCUCUGGAUUGUAAACUUCUUUUCUCUGGGGCGAAAACCAGCUAUUCUUAGCUAUUUGACAGUACCAGAGGAAUAAGCACCGGCUAACUCCGUGCCAGCAGCCGCGGUAAUACGGAGGAUGCAAGCGUUAUCCGGAUUCACUGGGUUUAAAGGGUGCGUAGGUGGGCUAGUAAGUCCGUGGUGAAAUCCCCGAGCUUAACUUGGGAACUGCCAUUGAUACUAUUAGUCUUGAAUAUCGUGGAGGUAAGCGGAAUAUGUCAUGUAGCGGUGAAAUGCUUAGAUAUGACAUAGAACACCAAUUGCGAAGGCAGCUUGCUACACGGUCAUUGACACUGAGGCACGAAAGCGUGGGGAGCAAACAGGAUUAGAUACCCUGGUA